GGCAUGAAAAAUUUCGAGGACAAACUUUUUUUCGUGGGAGAAAAUGUAAUAGUCCAAUCUAAUUGGACCCAGCCUAAUUUCAAAUAGUAGCCCCAUAAGGGGGAGCAUGAUUUUUAAAGCAUAAGAAAAAUAUGAAGGAAUGGGAGGAAGAAGACUCUUACUCCUAUCCUAAAAAGGAUUCUAGUCGGAGCCAAAAACCCUAAGCCCCUUCUAUAAAUGAAGACUCCACUCCCUUCCAUGGCCUUCCAUUGUCGAAUCCCUCUUCCUUUCCUUAUUCUUCUUCCUUUUUCUUCCUUUCUUGUUUUUAAUUAGAGGUCAUUGUGUUGGAGAAUUCAUG
rnacentral:lncRNA from 1 species